GGGUCCACCUGGACGAGAGGGGCCUAUGGGCAGUCCAGGACCACCAGGAGAGAGGGGUUUCCCUGGAAAGACAGGAGCAGUGGGACCGCAGGGCCCUGUUGGCAUGUAUGGUUUUCCAGGAAACGUGGGUAUGAGAGGAAGACUGGGCCACACUGGAAACAGAG